UUAAAUUGAAGAGUUUGAUCAUGGCUCAGAUUGAACGCUGGCGGCAGGCCUAACACAUGCAAGUCGAACGGUAACAGGAAGGAGCUUGCUUCUU
rnacentral:rRNA from 1 species